ensembl:lncRNA
UUUUAUUCAUUUAUUUUUAGGUAAGGAAAAUGGGGGGAAAAAAUUAAAAACGUGGUGCUAAAUCCAAGUUGCUAAUCCAGUCUUCUGCAUAGGAAGGUCAGUUCACAGAAGAACUGGUGUGUUUCUGUUGACAUGAAUAUCCCAAGGAGCUGGUCAGCUCUGCAUCAGUUGGCCACUACAGCAAUAUUUGGCUUACCUCAGGGAAACGGAUAUUCUCCCAGAGAUCUCAUCGCAGUUUUUGAAGAUUCAUGGGGUGUGAAAAUACUUUGUGUUCCAUCAGCAGAUAAUAUAGGAAAAGAUGGACAGACGGUGGCCCAUGAAGUCACUCCCUCAGCUCUAGGAUUUAUACAAAAGUGUGUCUCCUCCCACGGUUUGUUUCUGAUAUUGGUUUGUGUAGAUCAUCUGCACAGACUUUGAUUUCUUUAUUCCUUAUAUGUGUGUUGCAGAAGUCUGUGUAUGUUUUAAAAAAUAAUUUUUCUGUUUGGGUGAGACUCCAUGAAGUGGGUGCCACUGAAGCAUAUUUGUGUAUCUCAGUGUAGUCCCAUCUCCUCUGAUACUGUUUCUUCUGUGCUGUAUUACUGCUGUUACUUCGAAACAAAACACAGUUGUUAAAAAAAAAAGUGCAAAGAAAACUAUCAAAAAGGGACAGUGACUGCCUCAGAAUUGGCACAUUGAUUGAAGUAAACACCAGAAGCAUUGCCACUCGUGUUUCAAGAAGUGUAACAUAAAUAAUACACCCACUAAUUGAAAUGCAUACAAUAUGGCUGUUCUUGAUUCAAGUGAGAAGCGUGAAAUGCAUUUAUUUUUAUGAAGAGUAAAACAGACUUUGCCAACCAUACACAACAGGGUGGGCAUCCCGCUAGCUCAAAUUCUGCAAGCCCACAGCCGGACCUAUUAGCAAAAAUGAAGUGACUUAAUACCCCGGGGUGUGAUUUACCUGUUUAAGAACUAUAUUGUUGCACUAAAGAAAAAGUAAACCAAACCCAGGGGCUUCUUUCUCUGAUUUCUGUGGCCGUCGGACAGUAGGUUAUAUGUAGCUUUUCAUUUCGUUAUUUGUGUUUCUUUCUCCUUUAAUUGGGCUGUGAUACGUGAGGGUUUUCGGGUGUAGGCAACGUAUUAUUUUCUAUGUCAGGAAUGUAUCAAGUUGCUACCUGUGUGCCGAACCAUGCCUGAAAAAAAAAAGUAAUGGAUUAUAAGGAAAUGUGAAGAAAAAUAAAAAGAGAAAUGGAAAGAAAUGAAAUAAAUUGAAACAGAGUAAUAAAAUAAUAGAUAACAAAGAUAAAUAAAGUAAAACAAGACAAAAUCCGGCAGCGUCAAGUCGCUGCUGCAACGUCCUCGGGGCCUCAUGGAAGGCUACGUGCUUCGUGCAUGAGACCCCGGGCGACCUCGGCACGAGUGGGAGCUCCGUACCGGCGGGGUUGGGGCCGGAGGGCGGCCCCGCGGCUCAGAGAGGGCGAAGAAGGGGAAGCACAGGCCGGCAGGGGCUGCACGGUGCGUCCCUCGGUGCGGGGCUGCCCCCGGCCGCCGCUGACAGCGUCCCGGGGCUUCCACCCUGCUGCGGGUACCUGCGCUGCUUCCACGCGACUCCUGCGUUCACUCUUCUAUGGGGGGAAUUCCGGGUCGGAAACGAGUGGAACGGGAGUUUCCUACCGCCGGGAGGGAUGGGUGGGCAGGAGGCAGAGCCGGGGAAAUGGAAAGGCGGCCGGCCAGCGAAGAACAGGGAAGGCGUUCUGAUGCAGCCCCGCAGCUCCUUCCCGAGGUUGAGACCUGCCCCGCACGGACGCUGCCGAGAGGUUCCCGUCCACUGGAAAUAAUCAAACAAGACCCUACAAGUUGAACCGAAGAGCUGCCUCUUCCAGAGGAAAUUGAGCUCUUACGCAGGAGCGGAUUGAAGUAGCUCUUCCCCAUCCGCCCCUUGAAGUCAGACCGAACCCUCUCGCCUAUUCCAUCUCCUCUCCCACGCGUGGGGCCGGGGCUCCCACUUCGUGCGGAGUCUCCGCGCGAUGCCGGCCCUGGUCCCAUCCCACGGGCACGGAAGAAAAGAUAUAGCAGAUGAUAAAUGUCUCUGGAAACGUAAAAGCACAAGGAGAGAAACCCAGGCACUGUCGGCGGUCUUGGCAUAAGCUCGAAGAGCCCGGCAGGGCAGGGAUAGAAUGGGGCCCGUGCGGAUUCUCCUUCUUCCAUGAGAGAAGCUGGGAAGAAGGCAGUGGUGCUUCCUGGGUGCCCGGCAUCCAGAGAAGGCUCCCCGAGGCUCUCAAACAGCCUUCUGGCCUGGAGGCUUUCGCCAGGAAAGAAAUAAAAUGGUUCCAGUGACUCACCUGGAGUUUGUCAGGCGGAGGCUGACCUUGGUGGAUCCGCAUUCAAGUCUCUGUCCGCAUUUAUUGGGUGUCUAGCGUGUUACAGCUCAGCGCGGUGACUCACACGGUUUCUAAAAGUAAGACACCAAGAAAGAGGUAUCAUCACCAUCACCGUCCCUGUCACAGCCCCGGGUGGAGGGCUCCGCGGGGCUGAGGGCUCGGGGAUCCGGAUCGAGCCCCUGUGCCUCGACGGGAGGAACAGGGGGGGCGUGCGAGGAGUUCCCGGCCAUUCGGUUAGAGGAGCAUCUACUGGACUUCAGUAAACAUGACCCCUAAUCUCGGGG